CCAAUAAGGAAUUCAUGUUCUGCAACUUAGAAAAGAUCCCGAACAGUGCUUAUGUGAAAGCAAGCUGGCCAACAAGAAUAUUUUAGACUUCCCUAGUCAGAUAAAGUACCACUGUGCUGAUCCUUUUAUGUAGUAAUGGGCCUGAAUUACAUAUCCCAACCUGUAAUUGCUUUUUCAUUGUUGGAAACAAGUUUUAUAUAAAUGCAUUAGACAAACUAUACUAGCUGAAGCCUGACAUGGAAGAACUAACAAAGGUCUCCAAAGUGAAGGCAGACUUAUCUCCAUAUUAGAAUACUGAUAACUUAAGACCAAGAUAGAAACCCAACCCAAGAUAGAUGGGGAUCUGAAACCUGCAAAGCAUGGCAGC
rnacentral:lncRNA from 1 species